GGAGGGGCAAUCCGAAGGCUGGCGACGGAGACUGUCUUGAAAACAGUUGAGCCCGAGAGGGUCUUAAGGGUUCGAUCCCCUUCCCCUCCGCCA
rnacentral:tRNA from 1 species